rnacentral:rRNA from 1 species
UACGGAGGGGGCUAGCGUUGUUCGGAAUUACUGGGCGUAAAGCGCACGUAGGCGGAUCAGCAAGUUAGGGGUGAAAUCCCGGGGCUCAACCCCGGAACUGCCUUUAAAACUGUUGGUCUGGAGGUCGAGAGAGGUGAGUGGAAUUCCGAGUGUAGAGGUGAAAUUCGUAGAUAUUCGGAGGAACACCAGUGGCGAAGGCGGCUCACUGGCUCGAUACUGACGCUGAGGUGCGAAAGCGUGGGGAGCAAACGGG